rnacentral:lncRNA from 1 species
UCUUGAUAUUUACUUUAUUAUUAAAUGAAUUUAUGAAAUAUUCUGACGUUGUCGGAAUUUCAAGAUUUGUUUUCUAUUGAUUUUGAAAAAAAUGAGCUAGAUAUGUACCUGAUGUUUAAAUUUUCAACGGACCAAGAGCACCAUAAAAAUUUAAAGCUGAGUUUUAUACAUUGUUAUAAUGGGAAGAUAAUCCCAUUACAUUUCUCCAAAUAUUGGAAAUGAAAUUUUUGUCUAAAGUUAUUUUAAUUUCAAAAUCAUUGUUGUGAAUGGGAAAGUUGUUGAGCAAGUUAACUAUGUGAGGUCUACAAUUGACUCAUAUAUGCUAUUUUGUUCUAUUAUGUAUGAUUAAGUAUGGUUUUAACAAUGUUUGCUAAGCAUGAAAAAAUAAAUGAAUAUAUUUCUGUGACUUGUGUUAUGUAAAAUGCUAUGAUUCAGUGUUUUCUAAAUCUUGUGCAUUUUUUGUGAUUUUGAGAUUCUGGUAGAAUUGAAUAUGAAUUUGCCUGCUAAUGAAAUAUUAUUGGACCUUGAAAGUCCUUAAUACUCAUUUAGGAAAUUUAUUUGUCGUUCAGGUGUUUUUUGGAAAUUUAGUGGUAUUAGAGCUGCUAGUUGAGUAAAUUUUUUAAAAGAAAAUAUUAGAGAAUGUAUAGUAAUUUUUUAGUAAUGAGACAAUUCUAAGAUGUUUGAGACCGAUUACAAGUUUAUCAGAAUUAGAAUAGAACUUUAUCAACUAUGUGUAUGCAUUAAA